UCCAGACUCCUACGGGAGGCAGCAGUGGGGGAUAUUGCACAAUGGGGGGAACCCUGAUGCAGCGACGCCGCGUGAGGGAAGACUGCCCUAUGGGUUGUAAACCUCUUUUAUAAGGGGAGAAUAAUGACUACGUGUAGUCAGAUGCCCGUACCUUAUGAAUAAGCAUCGGCUAACUCCGUGCCAGCAGCCGCGGUAAUACGGAGGGUGCGAGCGUUAAUCGGAAUUACUGGGCGUAAAGCGCUCGUAGGCGGUAUGUCAAGUCAAGGGUGAAAUCCCCGCGCUCAACGUGGGAGCUGCCUUUGAAACUGGCAAACUGGAGUGUGUGAGAGGAUAGUGGAAUUCCAGGUGUAGGAGUGAAAUCCGUAGAUAUCUGGAGGAACAUCAGUGGCGAAGGCGACUAUCUGGCACAUAACUGACGCUGAGGAGCGAAAGCGUGGGUAGCAAACAGGAUUAGAUACCCCCGUAU
rnacentral:rRNA from 1 species